GAUGAACGCUGACAGAAUGCUUAACACAUCAGCGACUGAUUGGUGGCUGACGGGUGGGUAACUCGUAAAGAACUUACCUCACAGUUAGGGACAACUUUUGGAAACGAAUGCUAAUACCUAAUACUGUGAGAGUGCUUUGGGUCCCUUUAGCUAGUUGGAGAGGUAACGGCUCACCAAGGCGAGGAUGGGUAGCCGGCCUGAGAGGGUGAACGGCCACAAGGGGACUGGGACACGGCCAUUAGUCCUACGGGGGGAAGGAGUGAAGAAUAUUGGACAAAGGACCAAAGGCUGAUGAAGCAAUUCGGUGUGCACGAUGAAGUUUUCGGAAUGUAAAGUGCUGUCAGUGAGGAAGCGGUACCAACAGAGGAAGUGACGGCUAAAUACGUGCCAGCAGCCGCGGUAAUAC
rnacentral:rRNA from 1 species